rnacentral:rRNA from 1 species
UACAGAGGUCUCAAGCGUUGUUCGGAUUCAUUGGGCGUAAAGGGUGCGUAGGCGGCGCGGUAAGUCGGGUGUGAAAUCUCGGAGCUUAACUCCGAAACUGCAUUCGAUACUGCCGUGCUUGAGGACUGGAGAGGAGACUGGAAUUUACGGUGUAGCAGUGAAAUGCGUAGAGAUCGAUGAAGGAAGACCAGUGGCGAAGGCGGCGACCUGGUCCGAUACUGACGC